ensembl:lncRNA
GGAAAAUGUAAAGAGAAAAGUAAUGAAGGGGAUGUGUAAAUGGUAGUGUAAAAUGUAAUGUAAAUAUAAAGAGGAACGUAAAGAGAAAUGCAAUGUGUAAUGUAAAUGGGUGUGUAAAAUGCAGGGUAAAUAUGUAAAAGGGAAUGUAAUAUGUAGAGGAAGUGUAAAGAGAAAAGUACCAUAGAGGAAGUGUUGAUGGGAGUGUCAAAUGUAGAGUUUGUGUAAAGGAGCGUGUAAAGGGGAAUGUAGAGGAAGUGUAAAGAAAGAAGUACCAUAAAGGAAUUGUAAACAGAAGUAUCAAAUGUAGGGUAAAUAAAAGGAGGUGUAAACAUGUAGUCCUAGGGGAAGGGUAAAGAUGGAGCAAGUGUAAAGAGGAGUGUAACAUAGAGGAAGUGUAAAUGGGAAUGUAAAUGUAGUGUAAAUAUAAAGGGGGUGUAACAUACAGAAAAUGUACAUGGGAGUGUAAAUGUAGUGUAAAUAUAAAGGGAAAUGUUAUGUACAGGAGGUAUAAAGACAAAUAGUAGGUGUAAAUGCACGUGCCAGAUGUAGAGUAAAUAUAAAGGGGUUGUAACAUAGAGGAAGUGUAAAUGGGAUUGUAAAUGUAGUGUAAAUAUAAAGGGACAUGUAACGUAGAGUAAGUGUAAAUGGGAGUGUAAAUGUAGUGUAAAUAUAAAGGGAAAUGUAACAUAGAGGAGGUGUAAAGAGGAAAGUGACAUAUAGGUAUAAAUGGGUGUGUAAAUGUAGUGUAAACAUAAAGGUACAUGUAACAUAAAGAAGGUGUAAAGAGGAAAGUGGCAUAUAGUAGGUGUAAAUGGGAUUAUAAAUGUAGUGUAAAUAUAAAAGUAAAUGUUACAUUAAGGAGGUGUAAAGGGGAAAGUGACAUGUAGUAGGUGUAAAUGGGAGUGUAAAUGUAAUGUAAAUAUAAAGGUAAAUGUAACAUUAAAGAGGUGUAAAGAGGAAAGUGACAUAUAGUAGGUGUAAAUGGGAGUGUAAAGGGGAAAGUGACAUGUAGUAGAUGUAAAUGGGAGUGUAAAGGGGAAAGUGACAUAUAGUCGGUGUAAAUGGGAGUGUAAAUGUAGUGUAAAUAUAAAAGUAAAUGUAACAUUAAGGAGGUGUAAAGGGGAAAGUGACAUGUAGUAGGUGUAAAU